GGGGCCACCUCUAGCGCCGCGGCGAGGGGCAGCCAAGAUGGCGGCCGGGGGGGGCCGGUGGACGCGGUGCUGUCCGAUCCCCGUUCCCGCGCUCAACGUCGCCACCCCCCACUCGGAGGCAUGAGAACAUCAAAACUACAUGACAGCAUCACCUGGCACCAGUUAGCGCGGCUCUCCCAGAGAGCAUUGUGAUACUUCGGGUCCAGAUGGCCUCCGGGCAUGCAGAGGUUUGACAGGGAGGAAGGUCAGAGAGAGGGACAAAGAGGAAUGAAUGAGGAAGGAGUUCUGCUUGCAACUGAGAUAAGUGGUGAGAUAGGAGCUCCAGAGUCUCGUACACUUACAUAGCAUGUACUUGUGCAUGUGCACUUCCCACUCACAGUCAUACAGAGUAUUGCAUAAUAUUGGCAUCUGAAUGUAUAGAAUUAUAAACAGAAUAUAGAAUUGUUUUCAAAGACAUUUUCCCUCUGUUACAACUAUAGGACCUUUUGCCUUUCAACAUAUGUUAAGUGUGGAAUAUGAGAGCAGCCAAGCAGUCUGUGACAACUUUGUUUUGCAAAGUACUCAAAUUGGACCAGAAUGUGAAGCUUUAAGAACAUGGGAAAACAUUUCACGUAAUGCAGAACAGUAAUGUUAUAACAGAUCUUAUAUUUCAGAACCUCUCGGUACUCGUUUCUGUGUUUAUUUAAAGAAACUACUGUUAACACAUCAGAACUCAAGGAUAUUAAAUAUAUUUUAUUUUCUGCAUGAGAUCAGAAAUAAAUAAAGCAUAUCAUUUGACAUAAAAUCCCAGCUCACCCCCAAAGUACAUCUGUGCAAAAGCACAAUCCUAUCCAUAAAGCACAACAACAAAAAUCUAUAAAAUAGACAUUGCAGUAAAUGAGUUGACUGUUGAGGAGACAGUUUCACAGUAAGUAAAAUUUCAGUUACUGCAACGAGCAGUUUGACUGCCUAAUUUUUCCCUCUUUAUGUGAGAACAUAGUUUGAAAUUUAUCAGAAGGUUUUAGUGUGCAUUUUUUUCCCCCAGCAUUUUGGUACUCUUUUAGUAUGACAGACUUGUGCAAGUUCUUUUAUUUUGACCUCAGUUUUGAAGCUCUUUAUACUUAGAUUUGCACUGAAAUGGGCUUAUUAUAAUCACGUUAGGUUCCAGUCUUGCAAAGAUUUGCAUACAUGCUUAAUGUCAACUGUCUGAAUAGUCCUAUUAAGUUCAGUAGGGUGACUCUUGCACAACAUGAAGUAUGCACAGACAUCUUGGAAGAUUGAGGGCCAUAUGUUAGAGCAUAAAAACAAGUUAUCCAUCAUUUAAUUUUAAAAUAGAGCUGUGGAACUAAUAUGUUAUUUGAAAAAACAUUCUGGACUUAUCUGAAAUCCCAGAGGCACAGCUUAAUUCAAUUUCUUGGCUCUCACAGUUUUUAAACAGUACAAGUUCAAAACCAGAGGUGUCACUUCAAAUGAAAACAGCAGCCAAGACAGUUUAAACAGAGCUAGGCACAUUCAGUCAUAAUUUUCUUUAUGCAAGUAUUUAAACAUAUUUUAAGAGGGAGAAAAUUAUCAUUUGUAAUUGAGAACUGAAAAGUGACCUUUUCUUUAUUUGUUGAUUCAUUGAGCCUCAGAAUGAGUACUUUUAUAUCUGUUUUGGUUGUUGUGUGGCUGUUUUCUUCAGAACUGUCAUAAUUAUUGUCAUUGCUAAAAAGGACCUGUGCACACUAAAGGUUAAAAGCCUGAUACCGCAGAAUGAUUAGCCUCGGCUGCAGUGCAAUUCAGCUGGAUUCGCAAGUGCACUUCUUGAGAUCCUAGUUUUGUGGGGAGUAUUUAUAGUCCUGUUUAGUCGCACUGACUUCAGAGAGAUGACACAAGCACCCAGCACUGUCACCUCAGUAGUAAUUAAUGGUAUUCCUUUUUUUAUCUUAAUGGGCAAAUCAGUUUUAAAACCUUUUUUCUGCAUUGUUCUGAAGAAAGAACUAAAAUUACGGUUGAUAGUAGGAUAAUUCUAAUUUUUCUAGCCAAACUUGGCUAAAAGAAGUUAGUUCUCAUUCAACUGAAAAUUAUUAGAGGUUAAAGAUAAAUGCUAACCUUUCAAUAUUAUUUAAUAGAGCACAACCAAACAAAAGAGAAAGAAGUUAUCAAUCAGGCAAAGUGCUGUCUGAAUCAAUGGCAAAGCAGCAUUGGCUGAACAUCAUAUGAAAGGCUGUAUAAACUCAUGUAGUCAGAGGAUAACUUAGCAUGAGAGAAAUUAGACAAGACAUCCUGUAUUCCACAAUUGCUUGGAAACACUGACAUUUUUACAGCAGAGUGAUACUGAUGACAUUGAACACAGCUGCAAUUAGUGAAGGAAAUGUUCAUCCUUUGUGGGGUGAAAAUGAAUUGGUACUGGCAAUUUUCUGGUCUUUCUUCCGUGUUUUGUUUCUCUUAGUUGGUUUCUCUUAGUUGUUUUUUUUUUUUU